UGACCCCCUGAUCCCAACACCAAGGCUCUAUCCACUGCGCCACACGCCUCCGUAUGAUAACUCCAGUCAUUUUAGUGCUUCGCCACAGAAGAGGUUCUGAGAAGGUGUCGGGGAAUUCUGCAAUAACGUCUCAUGACAGGACACAUUUUCGGUUCCACUAUGCACAGGAUGUUGGACUUGCUGCUGAGAGUGGACCACAGCAAAGGGAGAAGACUCUCCUGCACUGACAGCAGGAUGAAGGCUCUCCUCUCUGGGGCUGCUGCUGCUGCUGCAGCGCCAUGCAUCAUGCUCUGCAGCUCAGCACAGCUCAUAGAAACUGCUGCUUCGAGUUCUCGAACCAUGGAGGUUGGUAUCCGCCAUUACACCGACACAGCUCCUGACGGAACAACGCCUUCAUAGUCCAGACCAUCAGAGGGAGAAAGACCUGCUACAGUGGAACCUUCCGGUGGGCUGUGGACGUCUACAACCUGCUCCUCAACACUGCGGGCAGCACUCUUGAUGUGUUUUUGAAAUGGAUGCCUGGUUUUUCAGGCCUUCAUGAUAUUUGUAUUUUACAUUAAUAAAUGUAUUAACAUUAUUAGUGGCUGUUUUCUGGGUAGAGUAGAAAAUGACUUAGAUUGCGUGUCUCAGGUUAUAAUUUUAGGGUUUUAAUAAAUGAUCAGAUACAGAUCAGUUUGCCUCAAAAUAAAUGUAUGAGAGUCUCUCAGAGGGGAAAUGACAUAGUUACAGUAAAGAGACAAUAAUUAUAGUGACACAAUAAAAACAGUAUUUAGUAAAGUAAUAUGGCAUGCACACAUAUUAAACAUUUCAAAUCAAAUUAUAUUUGUCAUAUGUUAUAUUAUCACCCAUGGGAAUUAUUUUCACACAAAUAAGUCAACGACUCAUAUUAAGUGUUUUACCAUCUUCAAUGUUUGUGGUGAAAGUACUUCUAAGUUUAAGUAACACGUUGAAACAGAGCCCUGGAUGCAGGAAGUCCCAGCUCCUUCUCUUUUGUAGUCAUGUUCUGCAUAUCAGGGUCACACUUCUUUAACCGGUGUCAUUCAGAGAGGACGUUAGGUAUCAACUCAUCAAGAGACGUUGUUUUUGACAGAAGAGUCAUCUUUUUCCAAUGUUGUAUGACAUACGCUGUUCUAUGUACAAAAACAGCUAGUGACGACGAAACAUUUUUCUUUUCACAGCAGACAUUUUGAAUGUGUUGUUAUCAACGUGGCUUUGUUUUAUUCAAGUGUCCCAGUGAGCUUUAGUUAACCCUGAAACUAAUAGCCUAAAGGUAAAGCAGGGCAGCAGGACUUCGUCAUCUGACUUUAAGCAUGAAAGUGUAUUUCCAUAAAAUGUCAAACUAUUCCUAAAGCAAGUUUAUCUUAAUCUGCAUAUGAAUCCGUUUUGGUUUCUGUUAGUAAUGCCAGUAGUUUUUCCAAAUAACAAUUGAUUAGUCUUUUGUUGCACGCAGGUAAACAGUCCGCGUUGAAAGCUAAAGAGGAAUAGGCCAAAAUGCAAUCUAGGAACCCAUUGGCUAGCGACAACAGGAAAGACACUUCAUCACAUGAUCUACUGUAUUGUGAAAGCACCCAGGCUACUACGUGCAACUUUAAGAUAGCAUUUCCAUUUUAAACAUGUCAAACCGCAGCAACUGCACUAAUCUCCGUACAAAAAAGGAUGUGAAACUGACUGUUGAGUUGUUCAAUUUCUUAUAUGGUUUAUAUCAGGGGUGUCUAAACUACGAAGCAACUGUUUUCUUUCUUUAAGCAUAUUCAAUUAUCAAGCAUCAUUUACAUAUGAUUGAUUUUGCUAACAUAACAUAAGUUAAGAGGCAAUAUACCUCACCUCUAGUGAGGGGCCUAGAUCUUCGUAAAUGUUUCUGUAUGUGGCCCUCAGUGAAACAUUUUGGACACCCCUGAUUUACACGUUUGUAUUGUGCAUAUAGGUAUGUUUUAA